rnacentral:rRNA from 1 species
GAUGAACGCUGGCGGCGUGCCUAAUACAUGCAAGUCGAGCGAACAGACGAGGAGCUUGCUCCUCUGACGUUAGCGGCGGACGGGUGAGUAACACGUGGAUAACCUACCUAUAAGACUGGGAUAACUUCGGGAAACCGGAGCUAAUACCGGAUAAUAUAUUGAACCGCAUGGUUCAAUAGUGAAAUACGGUUUUGAGGUCACUUAUAGAUGGAUCCGCGCCGCAUUAGCUAGUUGGUAAGGUAACGGCUUACCAAGGCAACCAUGCGUAGCCGAACUGAGAGGGGGAUCGGCCACACGAGAACUGAGACACGGUCCAGACUCCUACGGGAGGCAGCAGUAGGGAAUCUUCCGCAAUGGGCGAAAGCCUGGCGGAGCAACGCCGCGUGAGUGAUGAAGGUCUUCGGAUCGUAAAACUCUGUUAUUAGGGAAGAACAAAUGUGUAAGUAACUAUGCACGUCUUGACGGUACCUAAUCAGAAAGCCACGGCUAACUACGUG